UUGUUCCCUAAUUCAAAAGUUUUUAUGUAGUGUGGAUGUCAUUUCUUCAUCCCAUAAUUUCAGCUGUAUAUUAUUUUAGACUUUCAGUACAUAUUUAAAUGUAACCUACUCCUCAAGCUUAACUUCCUGGAUGUUUGUUCUAACAUCAGUUUGACUCCUCAUCAAUGUCAAUCGAAUGACAACAAAAGUUUAUAUUAUAAUCAACUGUUGUUUCGUCAUGCAGGUUGCGGAUUAUUGUCGUAAAUGUGUUCAUCUGGCAUUAGUUAUGGAGUUAAAACUUUGAAAACAUGAUUUGGUAGACGGAAGUGCUAGGUAUACCCAUCAGGUGCAGUGGGAGAAGGUCUUUACUAAUUGCUUUCUCAGGGUUGAUGAUGAAGUUGGGGAAAAGGUGAACAUGGAUCUCUGUGAUGACAACAUAAAUACCUCUAGCUACACCUCUGAACCUAAGACUGUUGGGUCCACUGCGGUUGUAGCGGUCAUUUGUUCAUCUCAUAUUAUAGUUGCUAACUAUGGGGAUUUAAGAGCAUUCCUUUACCAUGGCAAAGAAGUCAAGCAGAGAAGAUGAGUAUGCCAGAAUUAAAGCAUCUGGUGGCAAGGUCAUUCAAUGGAAUGGACAUCGUGUAUUUGGCAUUCUUACAAUGUCAAGAUUUAUUGCAUGGCAGUGACUGGGCUGAUGUUCAUGGUUGCAAUGGGGUUCAAUGCUGCUACUAGGACAUUAAAUUUGAAUGUCAACUUCAAGUAAGGCAGAGACCAUGCUGAUGAAUCUCUGCAUAGUAUAAACCCUUCAGUUGAAUCCCUUUUAAUGCGAAAAUACUGGUAUAUGUAAAUACUUAAAGCUGCUUUAAAAUGUCUAAGUUUGGAUAGAACAUAGGUGCCACCGAUACUUUACGCACGCAUACCCAUAGAGCAUUUUUUUGGGUACUUUACUGAAUUUGAAAGAGGAUGAUUUUAUUUUUUGCAGAUUGUUUGGUAUGCCAACCUCCUUCUCGUACACCCUUCCUGACCAAUAUAUUUUUGCUUAAAAGUUGAUAAGUAUGAAAAUGUAGUAUAUUAACUAUGGAAAAGUUGGACCUCACUUGGUCUUGUGGUGAUAUUAUGAUUGAUGAGGUAUUAAAUGCAUCUCCAAUUUCGCUGCUUUCGAAAGAUGUCUUACAAGUUGUCUGAUUACUUUUCUAUCUAGGAUUAUAAGAUUAAACUAAUAAACUCUGUGAUCAACCAUACGAAAGGUGAAACUUACGACGGUGCCGUUGUCUCAGGUAUUACUGUUUCUUUAUUAUUACUUCAUGACUUGUUCUCAUGAAGUAUCCCAUGACUUGUAUAAUUGUUCCUGUUCUCUUUUACAGUUUAGAUGUGCUAGCUACAUGAUUAUAGUAAGAAAAAUACUAAUAUUAAUACUAAUAAACAUGUGCAAAACUGUGGAGGAGAACCAAUAAUCUGUUCUCUACUGAAAUCAUAAGGAAAAAACUAAAAUCAAGUGACUGUAGGCUUGUUUGAAUUCAAUUCUCAGUAACACUCUGAUUCUAAAUUAGUUCUCGUUUGAUUUAAGCUCUUUCAAAGUGAAAGUGUAUUCCUAUCAACAUUAUGUAUCUUCUGAACCUGCAAAAAUGAAUAAUUGACGCGAGUUAGGUAUAUUUGGAAGUGUAUAAAAAAUUCAUAUCAUGUCAUUUCAUGUAUUGUAACUAACCUAAUAUCUCUUUAUAGAUAAUUUUUUAGGUGUAUGUCCCUUUUCUUGGUUUAGGCUGUUCCGUCAUGACCAAAACCUUUGUUGUUGUCAUUGAUAUUCCCCUUGAAAGUGCAACAUAUAACUGACCAUGUGAAAAAAUGUGUUGUGACAAGUACAGUGCAACAAUUGGUAUUAUUUGUCCUUGUGCUUUGUUUAUCAUCAUUGAAAAGCAUAAUCGCACUGGAAAUUGUUUUCUAAUGAAUUUGAAUGGGUAACCUUCAUUUUUAGGAGGUGAUAGCUGAAUUCGUGGAAUAAAGACAUUCUUGAAAGUAUUUUGGCCCAUCAUUAUUUCUACAUAUAUGACAUUAUUGUCAAAACCUCUGCAUAUCAUUCUUGUGACAUUGUACAAGCCGUUGGAAACAUCUAAAUUUAUCAGUAACAUGAUAGGCACAUUUUUUUCAAUACCAAUUUGCAUAUAAGUGAAAGAUAUUUUAAUAAGAAAUUUCACUUAAGAGAGAUAUUCAAUUAUGAUUGAAGGUUUAUGACCAGAAGUUUGAAACCAAAUAUAUUUCAUGGUAAAGAUUUAUCAAUUUAUUUCACUGUAAAUUUCUGCCAGUUAAAACAAAUUAAAAUAUAUUCCAGGAUAACCAAUGUCUUAUGAUCUUUAUAUUUUAAGGCUUUAUCAUUUGUACACGGACAUUUAGAUCAAUUUGUAUUAUCUUAUAUGUUAUAACACUUUUUGCUCAUUAUGACUAUUUCAUUACACUUCAGAUCAUGGUCCCUGAGAAUUAUAAAGAAUUUAUCAAUACUCUGGCUUCUCUAGUGAAAGGCAAUAUUGUUUCUAUGAGUAGAAUCGAUUAUGCUGUGAAGCGGAUACUGGGAGUCUGAUCCAUGCUUGGCAAAACAAUUCGAUAUCCAGGUAAAAGAAUGUGACUUUAAUUUCUCAAUAAUCUUUCAGUAGCUUGGUUUUAUCCUAUAUUGCUCGAGCAUUAAAACAUAUCUAAUUGUUGUUAUUAGACAGAAUUUUGAUUCUAAAAUACAAUUGUGUACUACUAAAUAUGGAAGAAGAUACCUAUGUGGAGGCAAACCGUUUGGUGUUAGAGUAUUUAAGUAAUCUUCAUGAUAGUAGUUGUUGGUGUCAUCCUCUGCAGAGUCAAAACUAAGAAAUGUUAUACUUUCACCAGGAAAUCUGAAAAUUAACAUUUUAUUUAGCCGAUCAACAUAUUCAUUUCUGCUAGCUAGGAUAGCAUGUUCAGUCAUGUAUUUUGCAGAAUCAACAUUUUUAUCUAGCUCUGGAAAUAUUUGCUCUAUUAAAGCAUCUGUUCCAGUACCGUCACUCUUAGUUUCAAUAACAAUUUGUUUUGGAAGUAGUACUAAAUCAUCUUUUAUUGUAGGCUCUUCCCCGUUACCUAUGCGUAGUAAAAGUUCACUGAA